rnacentral:rRNA from 1 species
AGUCGAGCGGACAGAUGGGAGCUUGCUCCCUGAUGUUAGCGGCGGACGGGUGAGUAACACGUGGGUAACCUGCCUGUAAGACUGGGAUAACUCCGGGAAACCGGGGCUAAUACCGGAUGGUUGUUUGAACCGCAUGGUUCAAACAUAAAAGGUGGCUUCGGCUACCACUUACAGAUGGACCCGCGGCGCAUUAGCUAGUUGGUGAGGUAACGGCUCACCAAGGCAACGAUGCGUAGCCGACCUGAGAGGGUGAUCGGCCACACUGGGACUGAGACACGGCCCAGACUCCUACGGGAGGCAGCAGUAGGGAAUCUUCCGCAAUGGACGAAAGUCUGACGGAGCAACGCCGCGUGAGUGAUGAAGGUUUUCGGAUCGUAAAGCUCUGUUGUUAGGGAAGAACAAGUACCGUUCGAAUAGGGCGGUACCUUGACGGUACCUAACCAGAAAGCCACGGCUAACUACGUGCCAGCAGCCGCGGUAAUACGUAGGUGGCAAGCGUUGUCCGGAAUUAUUGGGCGUAAAGGGCUCGCAGGCGGUUUCUUAAGUCUGAUGUGAAAGCCCCCGGCUCAACCGGGGAGGGUCAUUGGAAACUGGGGAACUUGAGUGCAGAAGAGGAGAGUGGAAUUCCACGUGUAGCGGUGAAAUGCGUAGAGAUGUGGAGGAACACCAGUGGCGAAGGCGACUCUCUGGUC